rnacentral:rRNA from 1 species
UGCGUAGGCGGAAUAGUCAGUCAGUGGUGAAAUCCUACAGCUUAACUGUAGAACUGCCAUUGAUACUUCUAUUCUUGAGUUCAGUUGAGGUAGGCGGAAUGUGUAGUGUAGCGGUGAAAUGCUUAGAUAUUACACAGAACACCGAUUGCGAAGGCAGCUUACUAAACUGACACUGACGCUGAGGCACGAAAGCGUGGGGAGCGAACAGGAUUAGAUACCCUGGUAGUCC